UGGGUAUUGUGACUAUCGUCGUUCCCUGGUCGUAUCGAAGAAGAACCGUACAUAUCGAGCAUAAUUUUUAUGAAACUUUGUCGAAAUAAAAUAGUUAUGCCAUGCAAAGGGAUAGGUUAGUAUUAAAUUUAGCUAUUUUUAACGUUUAUGCACUGUUCUUGUCAAUUUCUAGCCGUGUUUUGAAACGUGCUGCAAAUUCAUUGAAUUUUAUACACUUCGCCACCCAUUCAAGCGCUUCGUUUGCGCUUUAAAAUAGUCGCUUUUUCCAUUCGUAUUUCUCCCAAAUUUUCUUGCAAUAAUGUUCCGAAAUACCCCCAGCUUUGAUUGAUAUAACUCAUAUUUGUUUUAUCUGCUGUUUCAGGACAACAAUUGGACAGGAAAGUUAACAAAGUUUAGUGAUAAGUCGCCGACCCGAAGCACGUGCACGUGGUAAGCGUCCAUUAUCACUUUUUUUUAACAAAUUUUAUUUGGAUCGAUACUCACAAUUUUUAACAAACAAAAGAAUAUAAAAGAACAAAUAUUUAUUAAGUUAGAUAACCUAGAUAUCAAAUGUAGAUCCAAAAAGGUAAGCCGGGACCGGUCAUAAAGUAAUUACUAGAGGGAGGUGGAGGAUAAGGCCAUAUAAAAAAAAAUAGUUGGUUAGCGUCCUUAGCUUUUGCCAAAAAGUGGGCGGGCGGGCGCUUUUUUUUUAAUUUUUACUAAUUUUUAACGCCUUGGUUUUACUCACUGUUAGGUCCGAAACUGGAUUUUCUUGCGCAGUACAGAUAUUUUUUUAUAUAUUUCAAAAGAUAAUUCAUACCGUCAAUUUCGCACACAAUUUUGCAAAUUAUUAACACAAUUGACUACAGUCAACAGAAAUACUACAUAUAUUAGAGCCCGUUGAUCAAUAAAAGUCGGGCUUUUUAAAAUAAAAAAUUUUAAAAAAAUCCUGAGCGGGGCCUUUUUUGUGGGCGGGCGGGGACGCUAACCAACUAUUUUUUUUUUUAUGUGGCCUAAAUGAAAUUUCAAGUACAUAUUUCCAUACCCUCCCAUCAAAAAUCGCAUAUGAAAGAAUAUAAGCCCGAGGCUUAUAGUCAGAGGUUUACGGUAUGCCUUUGCAGGCUUCACCCACUUGGCUUAUGUAGUUGUAAAGACUGUUCACAUGGGCAAUAGAAUAAGAAAGUUAGGAAACUUUAUGCAGACAUAAUGGACUUCAUUAUCUACAUGUUUUUGUCUUGGUUUAUGCAAGAAAUGAUCGGUUCAUCGUCACGUGUGUAUUGUAUUUUUGCUAAAGUGACCAAAAGCUUACUGCCAUUUGCAUUCAAGCUUGAAGAGUGCAAAAAUGUUCAGGUUUAUUUACGUUUCAAACGUAACGUUUCAAAGGAUAUCACGCCCGUUUGGCCGAUAAAAUUGAAUUAUUUGAAAAUAUAAAAAUAUUGAUUGUGGAAGAAUAUACUUUUAUUCUUGUAUUCUCGUGAUUCUAAAUACUAUACAAUCAAUUAUUACAUUUUGUAGCUGAAUUAAUGUUAAAUGUUACAUGUUGUAAACAACUUAAAAAACGACUCAUCUUAUGAGUUCAUUGGCGAAGUAAUUUUAAAAAUAAACGUUGUCUAAGCCGAGAAAAUCAAAGUUUAAAGUUUAUGUAAAUCAACAUGAAUCUGUAUCACAUAUACAGAUACGACACGCUUAUGAUUUUUCUUUGUGUUUUCUUCAUGAAUUAUUCAUGAGUUUUUUAAUAGGGAUUUACAGCACAAAAAUGUACAAACGUCAUUGGAAUUCAAACAAAACAUGACAUAUUAUGUAACGAAUAAUAACCGUUGCAUGGUUCAAACGACUGGUUUUGUUGGUCAAAAGGGCGUGAUUACCCCCUGGAACAUUGCGUUUAAAACAUAAACGUGAAAAAAUUUGCACGCUUCAAGCUUGAACGCAAAUGGAAGUAGUUAUGUUUUCAUUGUUUUCAACCAUUGUGUAAUAUCACAACUGCAUGGGUAAUUAAACCAAUUAAUGCUAUUAUUGGUUGGUUGGGCAAGAAAACAUGACCGGCUAAACAGAGAGUUAUGAAGUGGAGAGUUACUGUAUCUCGGAGAGUUAUGUUCAAACCACACCCACUUUUCCCAAUGACCACACCCAAUUUCUUAACUCUCCCAACGUUUCCUUGAACUAACAUGAGAGAGUUAUGUUUCACACAACUUUCUAUCUCUCGUUAACAUUAUGAAAAUGUUAGAGAGUUGUCAUUUUUAUAACUCUCCGCGUUCAUGAUUGCAUCAUGUGGCAAUGAAGUCAGGGUUAAGUCAGUUUUUUGAGAAAACCUUCCACAUAUUAGUACAUUUUACUAAAUUUACAAGUGUCAACAUUUUACGCUAGUAGAAACUAAUAGUACUUUUGUACUUACCAAGUUCAUCUACAGUAUAUGUAUGUAAAUGUUUAUAUAAAUAUACAUGCUCACUUGGAUUAUCUAGCAAGACCAGCAUUCAGAUACAUAUUAGAUAGAACAAGAAGAUCUUAAUCCAAUGUAAUGCCCUAUUGGCUGAUCCGGGAAAGUAUUUCCAUUAGGCCUGAAUUGCUGAAAGAUUUCUUAAUUUUCUUGCAACUUAUUCUUGCCGUAUUUACUGCCAAAUACAUGUCAAAACAUGCUUCUGGGGGUACUAGUUGACUGAGUCAAGUUGCAUUUCCUGUUUGGACGCAUUCUAUUGACACGCUACAAACUGAAAUACCAAAAAAUAAGAUGAAAAUCUGAAGAAACAAGCUUUACUAACUAAGGUUUUCUUAAAAAAACUGACUUAAUUAACUCUAUUCAUUGCCAUAAUCGUGAACACGGAGAAAAUGAUAACUCUCUAACAUCUUCAUAAGUUAACGAGAGAGAGUUGCGUCAAACAUAACUCUUGUAUGUUAGUUCAGGAAACGUUGGGAGAGUUAAAAAAUUGGGUGUGGUUGUUGAGAAAAGUGGGCGUGGUUUGAACAUAACUCUGAAAUCAUAACUCUCCAGUUGGUAACUCUCCCUUAAGUCAUACCCCAAGAAAACAAUAGAGAGUUUAAGUUCGACUUCCAGUACCGAUACUGAUGUCUUCACUUCCGUUCUCAUAAAGCGUAAUAAGCUAUGACACGACUGAUAAAGUAUAUAACACAUUAAUCGUCACCGAAAAAAUGACUCGGACAAUGCCAAUAAACAAAUAGUUUACGUGUUUAUUGUAAAAAUUAUGAAAUAUUCAAUUUAUUUGAGUUUAUCUUACAAUUCCCACGACUUCCAAUACAAUUAGGCCGAAUUCGAUAGUGGUGACUUCCAAUACACUUGUCCUUGUGCUUCUUGUGAGCAGAGCACAUGACAUGUUGGUAUUGGAAGUCGAACUUAAACUCUCUAAUACACAUGUGAGCAUGAGCCAACCAUUUUUUGCAAAAACCAAGACAAAAACAUAGAUCAUGUAUGAGGUCUAUUAUGUCUGUAUCGAAACAUAACCUUGACUAUGAUCACAUGGGGGCCAAUGAUGGGCCUUUUAACCAUGCAUGGUUAAUGGAAGCAAGGGAUGAUUUAAAAAAAAAUUAUCAACACAAGCAAAAAAUUUUGAGAAAAAAUAAUUGCACAGGUUGGAAAUGCCCGCCCCCCCCCACAUCACUUUUCUAAUGGUCUUUCCCUUAGUUGACUAUGUCACCAUCAAGGGGGGGUCCCUAAUUGGAUGGACAGUUGAUAUACAUAUAGUAAGCUACUUCUUAGAAUAUUUAGGGGUGCACCGGAACUCAGUUCCGGCUGGAACAUCGAUUUUUUAGAGUUCCGGUUCCGGCUGGAACUAGUAAAAAAGCAUGGCCGGAACCAGAACUCUGUUGUUUUCAGAGAGAUAGAAUAUCAAACGUUUUUGUGUCUAACAAAAGGUCACAGUAGGUAGAAAUUUGGACUAUGCAAGGGAAAUGUACACUAGCACUUCAUUAUGGCGUUUAACGCUUGUCAAUCUUAUUAUUCUAACAUUUGCAAGCUCUCUCCUUGAUGACUUGAAGUGUAUGCAGCGGAUAAAGUAACAUAUGACUAUAUAUGGCUUAAUAAAUUAGUUCCGGUUCCGGCCAGAACUUUCUUCCAGUUCCGGUCGGAUCCGGUUCCAGCCGGAACUUAAAAAACUGGUUCUGGUGCACCCCUAAGAAUAGUUAUAUUAAUUUGCAGGCAAAUACAAGACUAUCGGUACUGCAUAUAAUGAAAAUAAGUAUUUUAUCACUAUGAUAAUUCUCGGUUGAAGCCAUGUAAUUAAAUACUUCUUAUUACCUCCAAUUUAGAUUCUCGCUGGUCAUGACAGUUGUAUCCGAAAGAAAGUGGGGCUAUGGAUGCUGGUCGAGUUCUAAACAGGGACCAUCAUGAGGACGUCCAAAUGCACAAAACUAAUUUCGUAUGUGGCAUCUUUAAUAUAAUUUCACUUUUUUUUUUGAGAAGAAUUUUCACCAAAAUUUUAACAGUGAAGCUUAGUGGUGGCUGUGGAUACUUUUGGUAUAUUAUGUACUUUAAUGGAUUAUAAUGAACAUUUAUGGAUUACUAAGGAUAUUUAUUACCAUGAACAUGUCCGGACAUAUGUACCUCUAUAUCAACGGUUACCCACAGACAUCGAUGUACCUCGAUAAUGGAGCUGCACUAUGGUUAAAGUGAGGUCUACCUUAAGGUACAGAUUUUCAUUGUUAGCCUGCUAUUGGGCAGUAGUUAGCCUGCUAUUAGGCAAUAGUUAGCCUGCUAUCAGGCAAUAGUUAGCCUGCUAUCAGGCAAUAGUUACCCUGCUAUCAGGCCGUAGUUAGCCUGUUAUCAGGUAAUGGUUAGCCUGCUAUCAGGCAGCACCUGUAUUUCGGUAUUGAAUUUGUACCCAUGACUCUAGUUUGCAUGUGUGCGGUGAAGUCUCUGGGUAGGCUAA
rnacentral:lncRNA from 1 species